UACGUAGGUGGCAAGCGUUGUCCGGAUUUACUGGGCGUAAAGAGCGCGCAGGCGGUCGUUCAAGUCGCGUGUGAAAGCCCCCGGCUCAACUGGGGAGGGUCACGCGAUACUGAUCGACUCGAAGGCAGGAGAGGGAAGUGGAAUUCCCGGUGUAGUGGUGAAAUGCGUAGAUAUCGGGAGGAACACCAGCGGCGAAGGCGACUUCCUGGCCUGUUCUUGACGCUGAGGCGCGAAAGCUAGGGGAGCAAACGGG
rnacentral:rRNA from 1 species